GUAGGGAAUCUUCCACAAUGGGCGCAAGCCUGAUGGAGCAACACCGCGUGAGUGAAGAAGGGUUUCGGCUCGUAAAACUCUGUUGUUAAAGAAGAACGUAUCUAAGAGUAACUGCUUAGGUAGUGACGGUAUUUAACCAGAAAGCCACGGCUAACUACGUGCCAGCAGCCGCGGUAAUACGUAGGUGGCAAGCGUUAUCCGGAUUUAUUGGGCGUAAAGCGAGCGCAGGCGGUUUUUUAAGUCUGAUGUGAAAGCCUUCGGCUUAACCGAAGAAGUGCAUCGGAAACUGGGAAACUUGAGUGCAGAAGAGGACAGUGGAACUCCAUGUGUAGCGGUGAAAUGCGUAGAUAUAUGGAAGAACACCAGUGGCGAAGGCGGCUGUCUGGUCUGUAACUGACGCUGAGGCUCGAAAGCAUGGGUAGCGAACAGGAUUAGAAACCCGGGUAGUCC
rnacentral:rRNA from 1 species